GGGAGCCGAGUGGCCGCCGCUCUGGACCAAUGGCCGCUGUGGUACGAUGACUGGAUGGACGGGCAGCUGGUGGAAAAGGGGCGGCAGGACAUGCGACAGCUGGCCCUGCGUCUGGCCGCCCUCUUCCCUGACCUCUUCUGCCAGGAGAAGUACGGCCGCCUGAGGCUGAUCACCAGCUCCAAGCACCACUGUGUGGACAGCAGCGCCGCCUUCCUCCAAGGGUUGUGGCAACAUUACCACCCAGGAUUGCCACCUCCCGACGUCUCAGACAUGGAGUGUGACCCUCCGAGAGUUAAUGAUAAGCUAAUGAGGUUCUUCGAUCACUGUGAGAAGUUUUUAACCGAAGUCGAAAGAAACGCCACGGCUCUUUAUCAUGUGGAAGCCUUCAAAACCGGGCCAGAAAUGC
rnacentral:lncRNA from 1 species